rnacentral:rRNA from 1 species
UUCCGUAGGUGAACCUGCGGAAGGAUCAUUACCACAUUUCGUCGAGCACUUUUGUGGUGCUCGCGAUAUCCACCCCACGUGAACAUUGAGAUGUUUCCCGCAUUAUCAAUUUCUCACCCCUCUGUUGACAACACCGACUGAUCGUAUCUUGCGCUGAGCGAAGAGGUUGUGAUUACAGCCUUCUUCAGCUGAGCGCAAGACCAUACAAACCCAACCAAAACUCCUAACGAUGGAUAUCUUGGUUCUCGCAACGAUGAAGAACGCAGCGAAAUGCGAUACGCAGUGCGAAUUGCAGAAUUCAGUGAAUCAUCAGAACUUUGAACGCAUAUUGCGCUCUGAGGUAUUUCUCAGAGCAUGUUUGUCUCAGUGGCAUCUCCCACUCUCCCCCUGCGGGUUUGCGCACGCAUUCGACGCAGGGCGGCAGGAUUGCGAGCCGUCCGAGGUGUGUUUCUCCUGCUGCGAGGCAGGAGCGCAGCUCUGUCGCUCCAAGAGCAGAGUUGGCCCGCUUGGCGACACAUUUGUAAACUGUCUCUGCCCAGCGUAGCGUGGUAGUAGGGUGCCUUGACUGUGCAUCCCUUCCGAUCGCUGUCGCUGUGGUGAUUGGGGCGGGUGUCUGCUAUGUAAGAGCGGUGCUUCCGGCUAGAUCGCACGGCCCGACGUGUGCGGUGUUGCGCCUCCCCUGGAGGUCACACUGUGUUGCUGUCGUGGCUGGACCGUUCAGUAUCUUGCCCUGAGAUCAAGCAAGGCUACCCGCUGAAUUUAAGCAUAU